CCUACGGGAGGCAGCAGUGAGGAAUAUUGGACAAUGGGCGGGAGCCUGAUCCAGCCAUGCCGCGUGCAGGAAGACUGCCCUAUGGGUUGUAAACUGCUUUUAUACAGGAAGAAUAAGCCUUACGUGUAAGGUGAUGACGGUACUGUAAGAAUAAGGACCGGCUAACUCCGUGCCAGCAGCCGCGGUAAUACGGAGGGUCCGAGCGUUAUCCGGAAUUAUUGGGUUUAAAGGGUCCGUAGGCGGAUGAUUAAGUCAGGGGUGAAAGUUUGCAGCUCAACUGUAAAAUUGCCUUUGAUACUGGUUAUCUUGAGUUGUAUUGAAGUAGGCGGAAUAUGUAGUGUAGCGGUGAAAUGCAUAGAUAUUACAUAGAACACCAAUUGCGAAGGCAGCUUACUAAGUACUAACUGACGCUGAUGGACGAAAGCGUGGGUAGCGAACAGGAUUAGAUACCCUGGUAGUCCACGCCGUAAACGAUGGAUACUAGCUGUUCGGGACCUUGAGUUCUGAGCGGCUAAGCGAAAGUGAUAAGUAUCCCACCUGGGGAGUACGUUCGCAAGAAUGAAACUCAAAGGAAUUGACGGA
rnacentral:rRNA from 1 species